CAAUAACAACAUACAAUAAUAAAAGAGAAAUGAAUAGGUUUGAAAAAAGUUGUUUUUGUAAACAAAUAUAAAAAUUGAUAUCAUUCUUUUCCUGGAAAAUGGACAAACGUGAAAAGUCAAGAGAAAUCUUCUUCUUAUCCAAUUCCAAGUAACAACCCAAGAGCAUAAAACAAGGUCAUACAAAUGCACCAUACAAUGGUUUAACAACUUACCUAAACAAAUUAAUUUGGAAAUGCUUAAUAAAUGGAAAACAAAACCAAUUAUUUCAGCAUAUCUUAAACACAUAAUGAACAAGCAGUUAAAUAACAGGGGUGGUGAAAAAAAGUUAAUACCAUAUUGAGUCAGCAAACUGUUUCCUUGAUGAGUGUAGUGACUUUACCUGCUCU
rnacentral:lncRNA from 1 species